AAGCUUAUGAGAUUUUACUAUUCUUAGUUAAAGCAUUUACUUUCAUCUUCAAUCACUAGAGAAUAAUGAUGAAUAUUGACACAGUUGAGCCCAUUAAUACAGAGGAUACAAUAAAGAAUGCAAGUAAACAAAAUUCUAAACUGGUCACAAAAACAUUGAAAAGAUUGACAUACUCAUAGCACAUACAACUGAAGAAUAUACAAUGUAACAUUACAUUUUUAGAAUUUCUGUAUUAUUUCUGUUCCUUUAGGUAGAGUGGAAACAAUUAACAUUUGAAGCUAAGCACAAGGAGCUAUAUUUUGUUGGAUAUAUUUCUUAGGAUUAUUGGUUUAAAUAAUAGAAGUAGUUAUAUAAUACACUUUCAGUCAAACUGUCAAUCAAAGAUAGUGUGUGCUCAUUUAUGACCCUUUGUGCUUCUCUGGCUGACAUUUCUGUAGGUAACCUAAUUUAUGACCAGGGUGGGGGUAGCCCUAUCGACUGUAUCAGUGGGUCAUUCUGGCACCUGUGUGUCGGGAUCUGUGGGGUGUGGGGGAGUAGUCCCCAACAAAUGUGUUUGUUAAUGUUGUGAAACCUGUUUCUCCCAGUAGUAAUCACACACAAUGUAUACCACAAUGUAUUUUUCGUGGUAUAAGAGAAUGUUUGUUUCUGAAAUUACUUUUUGUGGUAUUGUUUUAUUUGUAGCUUAAGGAUGUUUGGGUGAAAUACGUCUGAAAAAGUGUAUCAAAUGGUUAAUAUUGGGUAUACGUUUGUGUGGGGGAUUUCGUUUAUGUAACCACAUUGUUAGAAAAAGCAUGAUGUUUGAAUGUGUACAUAUAUGAGCAGAAUAUUUGUUUGUGAAACAAAUGAAAACAAAUGUUGAUUACGUUUUUUGGGAGACUGGUUUGACUUGGAAUAAAAAUUUAGGAGGUAAAACAUUUUUUUUUUUUAAAAGAAUCUGUUUAAAAGAAUCAUACGUAUUACAUGUCUUCCAAACAUAAACCUUUAGGAAGUAAAAAUGAGUAAAAGAGCUGUUUAAAAGAAUCCGUAAUACAUGUUUUCCAAAAACAUAACCCUUAUGAGAUAAAAACAAACUGUGGGGAAACAGUUUGUAAUCAAAGAACAGUAAUUAAAUCUAGAAAAUGCGAUGACGACGGUUUGUGUUCCUUUGAACAGUGUGGUAACAUGGAAACAUUACAGUAUUUAAUUCAGACAAUGGAGGAUCUGAAUAGAUCUGAGUCUACCACUGAUACGUUGUUGGAAUUAUUAAACAUUGCGAGAUCAGUGGCAGACGAUCAAGCAGAAUCAAUUCCUCUUCAUCAACUUCAUCAUUAGAACAUGCUUCAAAUUCACAACAGGUGGGGAGGGGUUCAGACAGCGAAUCGUAUCAUACGUUUAAUCCUUUGGAGCCAAAUUUUGGGUUAUCCGCAUCCGCUAUUGAUUCUAUUGUAAGAGAGGGUGGCGAUAUUGGUGGUUGUACAGUGGUAGCGAGACUCAGAUUUAAUAGUUUGGAGAUACGGCGUCAUAUAAAUGUGUGUGAUAAACGCCCCAGACCUGGCUGCGUACACAAUAUUUCUGCAUGGUGUCAUGGAUGAAAUACUGUCAUUUUCCAGACUGCUGGCCAGUGAUGGGGGUUUAAUCAACAUAACAUUGAGAGGCCCUAGUCUACCCUCUGAUGUUAACGCUGUCUUGUGUGCGUGUUCACAAACCAGAUUGAGAACAUUAUGCAAAGCAAUUCUAAUGUGCGAGCUGAUGACAGUUUGGAUCUAAAUGUGUCUAUAGCUCAUGGUAAACACGGUGGUGCUUAUCGAAAGAUACGUGAUCUAGCCCAUAACGAAGUGGUUGCCAUAAACAGAAUGAAUCUGUUUUGUCCCAGCAAUAUAUCUAACAAUCUGUGUUUUGCAAUCUGUCUGGCCCAUUUUCUACAUCACAAAUGUCGUGUACUGAUCUAGAACUGAUAGCCGAGUCUCUGCAGGACACUGCGGGGUAUUCAGUACAGCAAAAGAUAGGGUUUAAUGACAUUACAGAGUUUGAACAGUUGUUACACAUUAAAAUAGUGGUGUUACAUAGAACAUGUACUGGUAUGUUGGAACGGUAUACGUCCAGUGACGUGCCCCAUAACAAGACCAUGUUCUUGUAUCUGCACAACGAACAUUAUUUCAUGAUUAAGAACCUAAAAGCGUUCAUAGGUACUCCAUACGUGUGUGACUACUGCCACCAUGGAUUUACUAGCCGUAGAGACCAUAGGUGUAAAUACAUUUGCAAUGUUUGUAAUGCACCUGAUUAUCAUAAAUACGCUGUCAAAACGAGGCAAUGUCACGAUUGUUUGCGAUACUGCAGAUCUGCUGUGAUGUCACAAAACUGUCACUGUCAGAAAUGUAAUAGGCGAUAUCAUGUCAAUGGAGCCACCCCAAAACAACACGUGUGUGCAGCAGAACUUUGUAUCCAUUGUGGCAUGGAAUCGGUUAAUGACUGUGUACACCAGUGUUUUAUACAGCCAAUAAAACUCGAGCCACCUAGCGACAAAUACAUAUACUAUAAUUUUGAGACACGACACGUAGAUGGUAAACACGUUGCAAACUUCAUAUACGUGAUUACGUUUAAAGGGGAAGAGUUCACAGCUGCUGGUACAGACUAUAUAGAUCAACUUUUAGACAAAGUUUAGAUCAAAGUUUAGACAGCCUCAUUAUCAGAAUUUCACAUGUGUUGCACACAUUGCUUCAGGGUUUUACAACUUUAUAUUUUUGGAAUAUUUCACAAAAGCAGGGCUAACACUUCAAAUUAUUAUGCAAGGCUGUCCGAUCAUUUUAAUGCUUAAUGCUUUCCCGGACAAGACAUUCAAGCACCGUUUCAUUGAUAACUACUCAUUCAUCCCUAUGCGUCUGGCUGUGACGUCCACUGCGUUAAAUCUAACCUGUUCUGAGAGGUCAUUUUCCAUACCUAUUCAGUAGAAUAGAAAAUGAAGACUACAUAGGACCAUACCUGGCUAUGAGACAAUGACUACGUUUACAUGGACAGCAGUAAUCUAAUUAUUGACCUUACUCUGAGUACUCUGUGAUUAAGGUGUUUACAUGAGUUACUUUUAGAAUACUCCUGUCAUGUUCCCAUUUUACAUGUUAUAAAACAUAGUUCAAUUAACAGCAUGUGUCAUUACGUCACCACACCACGCUGUCCGACGUUUCCUCCAGAAUUUCAUGUAUUAACAUACAGCUCAUCUUCGUUAUGGUACCGUAUACAGUUUUGGGUGUUUAAUUUUUUAUUUUAUGAAAGCUUCAAGUGCAGUUAAUCAUUUGUCAUGCUGUACGUGCAAAUAGAUGACGGCGGAUACAAAUUCUCCAGCAACAGGCCUCCUCUGUACUUUCAUUCGGCAACAGUGGUAGUGGUCCUGUACCAGCUCGGUAGCUGCGGGGAAUACCGAGUAAGAGCUAAUCAAUUUGGCGUGCACAAGUGCACGGUCAAGAAGUUUGUGUACAUGGUUUGCAAAGGAAUGCUAUCCUAUGCAAAAAAUCUAAUCCAGGUUCCUAGUCUGGAGGAGGCAAAUGCAAUUGCUUACCGAUUCGAAAUGGAACAUCACAUACCACAGAUAAUCGGAUGCGUUGGCGGGACGCACAUUCCCAUACUUCCGCCAAAAGAUGGAUAUAGGGACUUUGUUAUCGUAAAGGAUGGCCCUCAUACGUGCUUCAGGCAGUCGUGGAUGACCAAUAUUGGUAAGUAGCCAAGAAUAUGUUUAUUUACCUGUAUUAGCCCACAUGAAUCUUGCCUUUAUUGUAUAUAGCAUGUAUUAUGUAUUUGUUGUUUGAUAAAUUGUUUUUACUGGUAUCUGCCCUAUCGUAGGUUCCAUUUUAAGUAUCUCUCUGCCCUGUGAAGUGUUUUAUGACUUGUCUCCAACAAGCACAGUACACAUUUUUUAUUUACUUUAAAAUAUAAGUGCUUUUCACUUAGAUAUCUACCUUUCUCUCAAACCUAUGUAUCGUAUAUAAAACACUAGAGCCUAAGUUGGAGUGUACAUUGUUUAUCUGCUAAUAUGACCAAUAAACUCAGCUAUACUUCUGUAAUGCUGAUUCAUUUUUUCUUUUUUAUCUAGCUUUUGGAGUGUCAAUUGCCAAGUUCCUGGGAGUGCACAUGAUGUCAAUGUACUGUGGCAAUCACAGCUAUGCAAAAGGCCCAUCUACUCCCCAGGGGAGUGAGGGUGAUUCAGGGGAAACCUGUGCAUUUCUUUCUCCUCGGAGAUCCAGCUUAUCCACUCAUGGACUGACUGAUGAAGUGUUACCCACAGUCUCUAGGCCUAACACCUGAACAAGAGUCGUUCAAUGUUCACCUCAGCUCAACAAGAACAACAGUGGAGAUUGCUUUUGAGAGACUGAAGUCUAGGUGGAGGGUGCUCCUGAAAUGCAGUGAUAUUUUCACUUCACUUUCUCACCUUGCAUGAUUACAUGUUGUGCACUGCACAAUUUUUGUGAACGAGAAAAGGAGAAGGUCCCCCAAUGCUGGAUGGAGGAGGCAACAGUUAUGGAGAGAGCCUUACCCCAGCCCCACAGUGCACCACAGAACCAGCACAGAUGCUUAUGUCAUGAGAGAUGCAUUAUCACCAUACAUGGCAGCAACAUUUCCCCUUUGGAGGAGUAUACAUUAGGCACAAGUGGUUAACAUUCAGCAUAUUUGCUUGCUUUGAGGAGCUUGGAAAGUCACACUUCUUAGUAUUUGUUCAACGUUAUUAUCUCCAGUCUGUGAUGUUAACUGCAUUCAAGAAGUUAUUUUAUGAAGAAGUGCUGCACUUUUUAUUUUAAUGUGAACUAGGCAAUUUCUUUAAGUUUCUGUUGGGUUUUGUAUGCCUUAAUUCCAGGAACACUGCACACAGGUUUGAAGUGCAAAAAAGGACACAACAAAAAGGAUAAUAAGAAAGGGACCUCUUCAAGUUCUGCUCACUUAUGGUAAAUAUUACUUUACAAAAAAUAGAGGUUUAAUUAAAAAAAAACAUUUCAACCCCAUCCAGGGUGUACCCUGCCUUGUGCCCCAUGCUCCCUUAGGUUGGCUCCAGGUAUCUCAUGACCCUGUAGGAUGGACAGAAACUGGAUGGAUGAAUUUUUUAAAUUUUUUUAUUUAGUUAUUUUUUUUCAAAAAAUGAAAGGUUUCACUUACUAACAAAUUUAUAUAACAAAAGACAAGGCACAUUCUUUCCUGUAACACAGGCAAAUAUGAGGUAGGCAAACACAUCUAAACUCAAGUCAAUACAGGCAUUCACAAAGUAUUUUACAUAAGCAGGUUUUCUGCUACCUAAUGGCAGGCUGCUCACAGGUGAGUAUAUGAUCGAGCAUAUUCAUUUGCUUCUUCUGACCCAUGUUCAGCAGUGGAUGUGUUUGACACAGUAGAACCAUGCAGGGUAUAGUUAGAUGGCUGUGUGUGAUACCCUUGAAAGUGUGGGGGGGUGCAGUGAAGGAGGUGCAAACAUUGGAUGUGGGUGCUUUGGAAUCCCUCAACAAGUAUUGAUAUAAUGUGCUCGGUGGAACGGACAUUGCUCUCAAUUAAAGCACUAAGGAGUCUCUCCUCCCUUUGCUCGGAUUGCUGGAUUUGGUCUUGAACCCAUUAAUUUUAUUGCCUCAUCAUCUGUAUCAUGAACUGCUGAUGCUGAGAGAUCACAGUGCAUCUCGCAGAUUUCUUUCUUCGAGAGUAACCUAUGUUAUAUAUGUUACCAUUAAAAAAAAAAUAGAAAUGUCAGUUGAAGUGACAGGCUUUGAUAGCAAUAAAAUUGCUAGAAGUCUUAGAAAAUGAAAAAAAUGAUAUUUUUAAGUGUCUCCAUGUUCUACAUUAAUCAUAUUUUAAAUGUUGGGACAAAUAUGUGCAGCAUACAGUAGCUAGCCUAUGUAACAACUACUGAACCUGAUGAGUCAAACCAAUACAUACCUACAAAGAAUUGUCUUAUACAUAUACGUAUACAUACAUACAUACAUACAUACAUAGUGCCUAUUUAAUGGAAAUAGCAUUUACAUCAAAAACAUGUCACCUUGUGUCCUGGGUGGGUCGACAUCUGGUGCUGUGGCUGAAAAGCUUUCCUCUUGAGUACCAGAUGUAUCAGCUGAUUAUGCCUUAUCUUCAUCUGCAUCCUCGUUCAUUUCCUCCUGGUGAGAUAGAGAACUCGCUUCAUCCCCAACGAUACGAAUUCAAUGGUUGUAUGUUUCACGGGCAUGAUUGGCAGGCAUGUAAUCCCAACCAUUUACAUCCGUUAUCAAAAGUGCCCUACGGCUUGCUCGGAAGACAAUUUGAUGACAAAGUCGAAAUAUUAUAAAAAGCGUAUGGUCUGGAUGUUGAGGCAAUGUGGGAGUGUGAUUGGUAUAACGCUAAACAGACCGAUGUCGAUGUAAUGGCCUUUAUGACCACUUACACACAUCCUGAAAGACUGAAACUGUGCAACGCUCUAUUUUGUGGUCAUACUAACUAAUAGAAAUUGUAUCACAAAGCCGACAUUAGUGAAAAAAUAUGAUAUGUUGACUUUACAAGCUUGUAUCCCUUUUGCCAGGCCAAAAAAUGUUACCCCAUAGGACUUCCCCAAAUAAUUUUCAAGGAUUUUGAACCUCUUGAAAAUUAUUAUGGAUUUGUCAAAGCUACAGUGCUGCUACCACAAAAACUGCUUCACCCCAUCCUUCCCUAUAGGACUGGUGGUAAGCUUAUGUUUCCACUCUGUCGUACAUGCACAGAAAAGCAGAAUCAGACAGACCUGUGUGGACACACUGAUGAGGAAAGCAAUAUCAGGCUGUUGGGUCAGCAUCGAACUAUUGAAAGGUGUGGAAAAGGGUUACUUUGUAAUGAAAGUUACCUUUUCCACAACGGUCAGAAACUUUGUUUUGUGACUAUGUUAAAACAUUUUUACAAUACAAACAAGAGGCCAGUGGGUUCCCCGCUCAUGUUGUGACAGAUGCUGACAAGGAAUCCUACGUCUCUGAUUACUUUGAGAAAGAGGGGAUUAAGAUGCAUGUUGAUAAGUUAAGUCAUAACCCAGCACGGCGUUCUAUUAACAAACUUCUGCUGAACUCAUUUCUGGGUCGUUUCUUGAUGCGUGAAAACUUGCCGUGUACAGAACUAAUUUCCGGCCCAGAACAGUUUACACAACAUAUGGUUAUGACGUUAAACACUUUUCAUUCAUGUCAGACUGCGUAGCACUAAUUUAGUGGUGUUAUUGGGAAAGGGGGUCAGACUUGACAUUAACCUCCUUCUUGGUGCGUUUACAACCGCUCAUGCGCGUCUAGAGCUGUAUGAGUUAAUGGACAAACUGGGUGAUAGGUUGUUGCACAGUUCUUGUGAUGUCAUUUUGCUUCUAUUAGAAUCUGCUGGGCCUAUGUAAAUGAUUCGUAGCAGUUAGAAACAGAAAUCCAAUGGCAGUUUUCUGGCUAGGAUUAAGUGUUGUAUGUGCUGUUUUUUAACCUGGUGAUGUCCUAAUGAAAUGCUUUAUUUUUCACUGACAUGAUAAACAUUCUGAAGACUUAAGAAGUUACUAUUUUGAAUGUUUGGUUAGAUGUAGGCUUUGAUUAGAGAUAGAUAUGGGCUAUAAACUGUAUUAAAACCUGUUAUGCCCCUACUUUUUCACAAAGUAGAGCUGAAAACUUUACAAUGUACAUCUGUUCCAUUUGAUUUUUUGUUGUUAUUAUUAAAUGGUAAUUGAUUUUUUCUUUCUUUCUUUCUUUUUUUUUUUUUUAGAACCAUAUGCCACUUUGCUCUUUUAUACUGCAUGGGCAAAAACAAAUAAACCAACAAAUAAAUAAAUAAAAAAAACAUCUGGUGGAUAAAGUAGAUAGGCUUAAUCACCAUUCCCUGAGCCAGAUUACUACUGUAGUUUCACAAUCACUUCUAGAGUUAGUCAAAUGCUGCUUCUUUUGACACUGAUUUGCAAGCUUAGGGGGCUUUGUUUGGAAACCCAGUUCUGGAAUGUGUUUAAUUGCUUUUUUAUUUCCACAAAGUGAAACUGCUUUAGACAAACACAAGGUUCUUAAUUUACUGCCAUUGUUACCCAACGAGACUGGGACAGGAAGUAAGUGCAGGAUCAAAGUCUUCAUUAUCCACUAAAGUCAAUAUACACGAUACAGGAAAUGAGGUCAAAACAUAAACUAGAAUUGAGGCAUGAAACAAGAAACUAGAACUUGACUUUGAAACAAUACUGCGUAGCACCGGGGCAGGGUUAGAAAUGGGUAAGAUGGGUAAUGGUGUCAUGCGGUGUGUUUUCCAUGCACAACAAGGGCUGUGCAUGGAAAACACACCGCAUGACACCAUUACCCAUCUAACCCAUUUCUAACACUGCCCCGGCGGGAAUCAAACCCCAGACCCUGGAGGUGCGAGGCACACAUGCUAACCACUAAGCCACCAUGCGCCCGACGCCAUCAACCCAACACAGUAACUAGACCUGAGGCGCGAAACAUGAAACCAAACAUGUAACCUGCAUCACGUUUUUGUUUAAUGAGCACUCGUGUAUAUAUAGUGCCACUGUUUGCACUGAUUCUUUUUCUCACAUAAUUGUCUUAGACUACCGUGUUCCAUGUUACCGUGUUUUGGUCUUGUAGUUUAUUGUGUAGUCUGUACCACAGUGUUUUGCAUCAGUCUAAAUAUCCUUUGUGUUUUGGUUGGUUUAUAUAAUAAAACGUUGAAAAUCUGAGAUUGCUUCCGCACACAUCUUUGAGACGUGACAGAAUGUGAGACCUACAACAGAAGCAGCGGAUCAUCAUUAAGUACCUGGGCUUUGAUCUUCCACCUAUGUUCAUGGAGAACUGUGCCGCGCCACGACAACAGGAGGUGGAGUGCCAAGCUGCGCCGCAUACGCAGCAGAUCUCCAUGAAGUAUCUGGGCUUCACUCUAACACCUGUGUUCGCAGAGGACUACGCCACGCCAUGCCAACAGGAGGAGGAGUCCAGGUACAAGUGGGAGUCUGUAGUCGGGGCUAGUGCCAUCUCCCACCCUCCCUCCCCUAUAAUGGAUCCAGGUCAGCAAACGGAGUCAGCGGAGAAUGAAAGUCAGCCUCCCUGCUCAUCUGAGGAUGCCACUCUGCUUUUUGGGUCAGCUGAGGAUGCCUCUCAGUCACCCAGGCUGGCUGAAGACGUUGCUUCCCCUCUGUUCGCCAAUUCCGUGUACAACGCCUCUGUGCUUGCCUGCUCAGCUGAGGACAUCACUCUGCCUUCCUGCUCGGCUGAGGACGUCGCUCUGCCUUCCUGCUCGGCUGAGGACACCGCUCAGCCUUUCUGUUUGGCUGAGGACGUUGCUCUGUCUUUCUGUUCAGCUGAGGACGUCGCUCUGCCUUCCUGCUCGGCUGAGGACGCCGUUCUGCCUACCUGCUCAGCUGAGGACUUCGCUCUUCCUUCCUGCUCGGCUGAGGUCAUCACUCUGCCAUCCUGCUUUGCUGAGGAGGUGGCUCUGCCUCCAUGUUCCACUGAAGACGCCGUUCCUCUUCUUUGCUGCGCGCCGUAUGUCACUCCCCCUUCCUGCUCCACAGAGGACACUGUUUCCCCCUCGUGCUCCACGGAGAGCAUCGUUCCUCCCUCGGGCCUCGUGGAUAACCUCGCUCCCCUCUCCUGUCCUGCGGAGGAAGUUGUCCUGCUGUCCUACCCUGCAGACGUUGCUCUGAGCUCCAGCCCCACUGAAGACGUCGCUCUGAGCUCCAGCCCUGCUGAGGACGUUGCUCUGCUUACCUGUGACACUGAGGAAGGUGCGUUGCAUUCUUGCUCCACUGAGGAUGCCGCUCAGUCUCCUAGUUUUGCUGGGGACAUUUUGCCCAGGGGGCCAGGACUACCAGAUGGAGGGAGUGCAUUUUUGGGCGCUCCGAGUGAAGUGCCCUUGGGGGAGGGGGGUUCUGUCAUAUUUCAAGGAAGUAACUCUGGACUUCAUUUCCCAGCAGCCACUGCACCAUAUUACUGUCACAUGACCACCUGCACCUGUAUCAAGUUUUUGUUUAACGAGCACUCAUAUAUAUAUAUAGCCACUGUUUGCACUGCUUCUCUGUUUCAUGUAAUUGUCUUAGACUACCGUGUUCCAUGUUACUGUGUUUUGGUCUUGUUAGUUUAUUGUGUAGUCUACCACAGUGUUUUGCAUCAGUCUAAGUAUCCUUUGUGUUUUGGUUGGUUUAUAUAAUAAAACGUUGAAAAUCUGCGAUUGCUUCCACACCCAUCUUUGAGAUGUGACAGCCAUAGAGUGAAGCUGCUUUAGACAAACACAAAGCACUUAAGGUACACAUUUUGAAUACCACCUGUUAAAAAGUGUUUUAUAGUUUUAGAUUAUGCUUGCUGUGCAGAGGUAUGGAUUGACACAGAAAAGAAUUAGGCGUACUGUUGAGUAAGACACAGAAUUCUUCUAACUCAAUACACACUUAUAACUUGAUCAACA
ensembl:lncRNA